GCUUCGUUAGCGUAGUUGGAUUAUCGCAUCCGUCUAAUAAACGGAAGGUCACUGGUUCGAGCCCAGUACGGAGCA